GGGAGAUACGAAUUGAAAUUGGGUGGUCAGAGAAGACUUCAAUGAGAAGGUAACGUGUGAGCAAAGACUUGAAGAAGCUGGCCCCAUGGAGAGACCCACACUGUAAGGAACUGAGGCCUGAAAACAACCAUGCAAGUGAGAUUGGAAGCAGAUCCUCCAGCCCCGGAUCAGACUUUGAUGACACAACACCCACCAACAGCUUGACUAUGGUCUCAUAAGACACAGCACCAUAACUAGGUCCCAGCUGUCAACUGCUGAGUAUGAGUCAUCUGUUCCCUUGCCUCCUCCACUGCCCUCAGCCUUGUGCAGGUCUGGACUGCUGCAGUUGGUAACUAGCUCACCUCCUCGAUGACCACGCUUGGGCUACAACAUCAAUGGAAAGCUGUUGCUGACAUUGCCCUUGUUAAAACCCCUCCCUGGUGACCCACUGCCCUUGGAAUCAAGAUAAAAAUAUUUAUAUCACUCUUAUGACCCUGGAUGAGCAUAACUCAUCCUACUUCCACAGUUCGUUUCAGGCCAUUCACACUCACCCAGCCACCGGGCCUUGUCUUCUCUGGUUCACUUUCUGUUUUCAUCUGCCAAGGUUCUGCCUUGACUCCAGCACUGCUGUCGGGCUGUUCAAACACCCUUCCCUGUAAGCUUCUCCUAUCUUCUAGUCAGCUCAAGUCAUCCUUCAAGUCUCAUCUUCUCAGAAGGCCUUCCCUGGCCUCCACUGAGAUAGGACUGAGUCCCCAUUAUGUCCCUUCACAAAAUCCUUAUUCAAUAUUCAACCAAUAUUUGUCAUUCAUCUGAAACAGGCACUAUCUAGUUAUAUUUUAUAUCUAAACUGUCUAGGAGUUUGGAAUAUAUAAGUGAAUAUGUUCUACCCUUUCUUCAUGGUGUAUAUCACAAUUUUAAUUCAAAUAAUUAUCUAUUUUACUAAAUGAUUAAUGUCUAUCUCCAUUGCUAGGUUGUAAACUCCAUGUGGACAUGGACCAUUGUCUGCUUAUUUUCCAAUGCCUGGCUCAAUUAAUAUUUAUUGAAGAAAUUGAAUGAGAGCUUUGAAGUCAGACAGACCGGAAUUUGACUAUUUGAUCUACUAUUUACUGUGGGUAGUUUCACUAUCUAUAAGCUGUGAACAACAACAGCACCUACUUCUUUGGGUUGAUGUGAGAAUUAAAUCACAUCAUGGAUGCGAUGUGCUUAGAAGAGUGCCUGAUACUUUAAUAGGGGCAUAUGCAAAUGAGCCACUUUAUGAUUAAAAUGAAUUUUAUAUCACAUUCAUGUGACAAAAUCAUAAUUUUGAGACUAUUUAUUGCAGUUUACAUUUUCCUGAGUCAUAUCUUCCCCAGAAAUGAUCAUUUUGCUGU